UAAGCUGUGGACCGCUGGGGCAGCAAACAAUAUCUGUACUAAUUAGUUACCACGCCCAGAGACAAAACUGUAUAAAACAAGCAUUCUGCAGUGUCCUUCAACUCCAGAAGCUACUGAUACUAAGCUGCUCACUGGAAUAAAACCAAAAACAGCUGGCACUUCUGAAGAUGCUGAAAGUCAUAAUUCUCUGCCUUGCUGCUUGUGCAGGUCUCCUCUGAAAUUAAUC